ACAGAGGGGAUCUGCACUUUCGGCCAUAGAGGGCCUCAAAUGCAACUACCUUUAUGCUUGUAUGAUAACUAUUGUUGUAGGAAAAUUCAACAAGGGGUAAAUGGGUAUCCCAAUCUUUUACAAAGUCAAUAACGCAAGCACACAACAUGUCUUCCAAGGUUUGGAUAGUUCUCUCACUUUGUCCGUCGGUCUGUGGAUGGUAGGUUGUACUCAUGUCCAGCCUAGUUCCUAGGGAACUUUGUAAUGACUGCCAGAACCUCGAAGUGAAUCUACUAUCUCUGUCCGAGAUGAUAGAUAAAGGAACACCGUGCAGCCUUACAAUCUCCCUAAUGUAAGUUCUGGUAAGUUUCUCCAUCUUGUCUGUUUCUUUGAUCGGUAGGAAGUGUGCAGACUUGGUCAGUCUAUCGACGAUGACCCAUAUGGAAUCAAGUCCACCCAUCGUCUUGGGCAACUUGGUUAUGAAGUCCAUAGUGAUCCGCUCCCACUUCCAUUCCGGUAUCUCCGGUUGUUGUAGAAGACCGGAGGGUUUCUGGUAUUCGACCUUGACCUUUGCGCAAGUAAGGCAUUUACUCACGAAGGUAGCAAUAUCUGCUUUCAUGUUAGGCCACCAGUAUAACUUUUUAAGAUCCAGAUACAUCUUAUCUGAACCCGGGUGGACGGAAUAACGAGUGUUGUGAGCUUCGGUCAUGACCAAGUCUCUGAAGCCACCGUGUUUCGGUGUCCAGAUCCGAUCCAUGAGGUAUAAGGCUCCGCCACCCUUGACUUCCAAGUUCUUAUCCAUCCCUCUAAGGGAUUCACCCGCCACGUUUUCAGGUUUCAAAGCGUCGAGCUGAGCCUCCUUUAUUUGCGUGGACAAGUGUGAAUGGAUAGUUAGAGUCAAAGAUUUGACUCUACGACCAGUAUAUUCUUUCCGACUUAGGGCGUCGUCUACUACAUUGGCUUUACCCGGAGGAUAACGAAUUUCGCACUCGUAAUCACUGAGUAGCUCGACCCACCGUCGUUGUCUCAUGUUGAGCUCUUUCUGGUCGAAAAUGUGUUGUAGACUCUUAUGGUCUGUAAAGAUCAUGCUUCUUGUACCAUCUAGGUAAUGUCGCAAGAUCUUCAGAGCAAACACAACUGCUCCUAGCUCAAGAUCGUGGGUGGUAUAGUUAACCUCAUGCGUCUUCAUCUGUCUCGAGGCAUAGGCUAUGACCUUACCUCGCUGCAUCAGAACACAUCCGAGUCCUUGAUUGGAUGCAUCACAAUAGACAAUGAAUUCUUCUAUCCCUUCGGGGAGGGAUAGCAUCGGGGCGGUGCACAAGGCUCGUUUGAGCAUUUGGAAUGCUCUUUCCUGCUUCUCUUCCCAGUCAAAGGCCACGCCUUUCUGGGUCAGGGUUGUCAGAGGUUUCGCUAUGCUGGAGAAGUUCUGAAUGAACCUGCGAUAGUAGCCAGCGAGACCUAGAAAUUGACGAAUUUUUGUAGGUGUCUUCGGUGCUGACGAGUUCUCAAUGGCCUUGAUUUUGGAGGGGUCCAUGUGUAUUUCCUCUUUGCUAACAACAUGGCCCAAAAAUUCGACUCGUCGAAUCCAAAAUUCACAUUUGGAGAACUUCGCAUAGAGCUUAUUCACUUCAAAUGUUUCUAAGAUUCUACGGAGAUGUGGACUAUGCUCCUGCUUACUUCGAGAGUAGAAGAGUAUGUCAUCAAUGAAGACGAUGAUGAACUGAUCCAAGUAAGGACGACAUACCGUAUUCAUCAGAUCCAUGAAUACUGCGGGCGCGUUGGUUAAUCCGAACGGCAUCACUAGAAACUCGUAGUGCCCAUAACGAGUUCGGAAGGUUGUGUUGGGAACAUCCUCCUCUAACACUCGUAGUUGGUGAUAUCCGGAUCGUAGAUCUAUCUUCGAGAAGUAGUUGGCUCCUUGAAGUUGAUCAAAUAAAUCGUCAAUGCGGGGCAAGGGAUAACGAUUUUUAAUGGUAAGUUUUUUGAGCUCUCUAUAGUCGAUGCACAUGCGAAAUGAUCCAUCUUUCUUCUUGACAAACAAGAACGGUGCUCCCCAUGGUGAGAAGCUUGGUCAAAUGAAUCCCUUCUUGAGAAGUUCGUUAUGUUGACUAGAAAGUUCCUGCAUCUCGGCUGGUGCCAGACAUUAAGGAGAUUUGGCUACUGGGAUAGCUCCUGGCACUAAGUCGAUUCUGAACUCGACUUGGCGUUGCGGUGGUAAACCCGGAAGUUCUUCUGGGAAGAUGUUGGGGAAGUCGCGUACUUCUGGGAUGCUCUGGAUGUCUUUCAGUUCUUGACUAGUAUCGACGACGUGUGCGAGGAAUGCAUGAUAUUCCUUCCGCAAGCACUUCUGGGCUUGAAUGCACGAUAUGAUGUGAAGGCUCGUACUAGGUUUGUCGCCAUAGAUAACUAAAGUUUCGUUGUUAGGAUGGUUAAGACGGACUGCUUUUUCAAAGCACAUGAUGUCGGCGCGAAGGAGACUCAACCAAUCCAUGCCGAUGAUAACGUCGAAACAUUUAAUUGGGACUGGCAUGAGAUUUAUCUUGAAAGUAUGGCCAUCUAAAGUUAAGGUACAACCUACGUAUAUGCAGUUAGUAAUCUCUGUUUUCCCGUUAGCCAUUUCUACCGUGAAUGAACUAUCUAAUGCACAUGGUUUUUGUUUAAGCAGGUGUGCAAAUUUGUGACUUACAAAACUUUUCUCUGCUCCACUAUCGAAAAGUAUGCAAGCAUAUGAGUUAUCGAGGAGAAACGUACCAGUAACUAUCGUAGGAUCAGCUACCGCUUCCUCGUGGCCUAGGGCCAUAACUCUUCCUACUCCUCNNNNNNNNNNNNNNNNNNNNNNNNNNNNNNNNNNNNNNNNNNNNNNNNNNNNNNNNNNNNNNNNNNNNNNNNNNNNNNNNNNNNNNNNNNNNNNNNNNNNGCGUAGCUUUUCUGUCGGUCUCUAGAGGCUUUUAAUCGUUCACGAAUUUGAACGAUCUUCUCUGUCGUUUCCCGAAUGAUCUCCGGACCCGUGAGAGUGCUUUCGGGAACUCGUCCCUUAGCUAACUGGGUAUCACCCACUUCAGCCCAGCACAGAGGGGAUCUGCACUUUCGGCCAUAGAGGGCCUCGAAUGGAGCUGCCUUUAUGCUCGUAUGAUAACUGUUGUUGUAGGAAAAUUCAACAAGGGGUAAAUGAGUAUCCCAAGCUUUUCCAAAGUCAAUCACACAGGCACGCAACAUAUCUUCUAAGGUUUGGAUAGUUCUCUCACUUUGCCCGUCGGUCUGUGGAUGGUAGGCUGUACUCAUGUCCAGCCUAGUUCCUAGGGAACUUUGUAAUGACUGCCAGAACCUCGAAGUGAAUCUACUAUCUCGGUCUGAGAUGAUAGAUAAAGGAACACCGUGCAGCCUUACAAUCUCCCUAAUGUAAGUUCUGGUAAGUUUCUCCAUCUUGUCUGUUUCUUUGAUCGGUAGGAAGUGUGCAGACUUGGUCAGUCUAUCGACGAUGACCCAUAUGGAAUCAAGUCCACCCGUCGUCUUGGGCAACUUGGUUAUGAAGUCCAUAGUGAUCCGCUCCCACUUCCAUUCUGGUAUCUCCGGUUGUUGUAGAAGACCGGAGGGUUUCUGGUAUUCGACCUUGACCUUUGCGCAAGUAAGGCAUUUACUCACGAAGGUAGCAAUAUCUGCUUUCAUGUUAGGCCACCAGUAUAACUUUUUAAGAUCCAGAUACAUCUUAUCUGAACCCCGGUGGACGGAAUAACGAGUGUUGUGAGCUUCGUUCAUGACCAAGUCUCUGAAGCCACCGUGUUUUGGUGUCCAGAUCCGAUCCAUGAGGUAGAAGGCUCCGCCACCCUCGACUUCUAAGUUCUUAUCCAUCCCUCUAAGGGAU
rnacentral:lncRNA from 1 species